UACGUAGGGUGCGAGCGUUGUCCGGAAUUACUGGGCGUAAAGAGCUCGUAGGUGGUUUGUCGCGUCGUCUGUGAAAUUCCGGGGCUUAACCUCGGGCGUGCAGGCGAUACGGGCAAUACUUGAGUGCUGUAGGGGAGACUGGAAUUCCUGGUGUAGCGGUGGAAUGCGCAGAUAUCAGGAGGAACACCGAUGGCGAAGGCAGGUCUCUGGGCAGUAACUGACGCUGAGGAGCGAAAGCAUGGGUCGCGAACAGGAUUAGA
rnacentral:rRNA from 1 species